rnacentral:rRNA from 1 species
AACGAACGCUGGCGGCAUGCCUAACACAUGCAAGUCGAACGAGACCUUCGGGUCUAGUGGCGCACGGGUGCGUAACGCGUGGGAACCUGCCCUUAGGUUCGGAAUAACUCCCCGAAAGGGGUGCUAAUACCGGAUAAUGUCUUCGGACCAAAGAUUUAUCGCCUUUGGAUGGGCCCGCGUUGGAUUAGCUAGUUGGUAGGGUAAAAGCCUACCAAGGCGACGAUCCAUAGCUGGUCUGAGAGGAUGAUCAGCCACACUGGGGCUGAGACACGGCCCAGGCUCCUACGGAAGGCAGCAGUAGGGAGUAUUGGACAAUGGGCGAAAGCCUGGUCCAGCAGUGCCGCGUAAGUGGUGAAGGCCUUAGGGUUGUGAAGCUCUUUUUACCGGGAUGAUAAUGACAGUACCGGGAGAAUAAGCUCCGGCUAACUCCGUG